ACCUGUUUGGCUAUUAUUAGAGGCAUCAUGGCGCUAAAGUGGAAGAUGCAAGAGUUGUAUUUUUUCCAAAGAUUCCAUACGCCAACUACUAGAAGAUAUUCAAAGGCUAGAGAUUUUUUCUGAAUGGGGGGUAGUUUCAUCCAGGAGUCCCAUACUUGAUUGUAUGAAGUAGGAAGCCUCGAAACAUUGAGUGUCGAGAGUAAAGCAGCCCA
rnacentral:lncRNA from 1 species